CCUGCACAAGCUCUUUUGCCUACCACCAUGUAAGAUGUGACUUUGCUUCUCCUUUGCCUUCUGCCAUGACUGUGAGGCCUCCCCAGCCAUGUGAAACUGUGUUUCCAAGGGAAAGCAUGUGGCAUUUCACCUGAGUUAUGUAUUGUUUCAAACAUCCAGUGGAGGGUUUCUGGUAUCUCUCUUGAACUCUGGUGUUUUUACAAGAGGCACACAAAAGAGAGACACAGAGAGAAGAUGAGAAGACUGAGGCAGACAUUGGAAUGACGCAACCAGGAGCCAAGGAAUGCCUGGAUCCAUGGGAAGCAGAAGAGGCUUUCUCACCAUGUGAUGCAUUCUGCUAUGUUAUGAUACAGCAAGAAGGGCCUCACAAGAUGUGACCUCUUGUUCUUGGACUUCUCAGCCUCCAGAAUCAUGAGAGGGAGUGAGAGAAGUCAAACCUCUACCAGACUAGACAGAAUUUGCAUGUCUAUCUCUUACCUAAAAAAAGGCUCAGCACUGUGAAGACUGAUUGCCACCUCCCCCUUCCCCAGCAAUCUCGUGGAGAUCUGGUCAGAGAAGCUGUUCCAUCUCCCACAAACCUCGUGGCUCAGAAGCAGAGGUGGAGGCUGCAGACCUCAUGUCAGGACUGGGUCGACUAAAAUAAAAACAGUCCCCCUAGUCUGGAUGCCCUGUGUACCUUGCAACUGAGAAAAUGUGAAUGAAACCAUGAAAUACUAUGCAGCCAUAAAAAGGAAUGAAAUUAUGUCUUUUGUAGGAACAUGAAUGGAGCUAGAAGCCAUUAUUCUCAGCAAACUAACACAGGAACAGAAAACCAAACACCACAUGUUCUCACUUAUAAGUGGGAGCUGAAGAAUGAGAACCCAUGGACACAGGGAGGGGAAAAACACACAGGGGCCUAUCAGGGGGUGUGGUGGGGGGAAGGAGAGCAUUGGAAAAAUAGCUAAUGCAUGCUUGGCUUAAGUUCUACGUGAUAGGUUGAUAGGUGCAGCAAACCACCAUGGCACACGUUUACCUAUGUAACAAACUUGCACAUCCUGCACAUGUACCCCAGAACUUAAAAAUAAAAAUGAAAAUAAAAAAUAUUAGAUUUGAAAGGGUUUCAUCAUCUAACAAGAGCUCUUUGAAUCUUACAGAUAAACUCCUUUUCCUGACAUCUGCCAGUGAAAAUUCUGCAUCAGGGUAUAGUCUGUGUGACUAGCUUUGUCUUGAUGAAGGGUUUACUCCCUGCCCCAAAGGGCGAUUGGAAGCAAGGCUGGACCUGUGUGUGUGUGUGCAUGUGUGUAUGUGUGAAGUCCUAAAGGAACCUGGAUAAGUGCAAAUGGAGACUGCACAGGAGUUGAGGCCUCGUGCUGGGACACUCACCUUUGUUGGGUGUGCACUGAAGCUGCAACACCUUUGGGAUUUGGGGAUUGCAGAUGAGGUCACACUUUAUUUCCUCCUUUAACAGACUUCUAGUGACAUUCAGGGAAGGGGCAGAUGUCCCUCCUCCAGCUGGCAGGGCAACAGACAUUAGGAAGGAGGACCACAGUGGGAAGACAAUAAAUACCACGAUGACAGGGUUUUCU
rnacentral:lncRNA from 10 species